UACGUAGGGUGCGAGCGUUAAUCGGAAUUACUGGGCGUAAAGCGUGCGCAGGCGGUUCUAUAAGACAGGUGUGAAAUCCCCGGGCUUAACCUGGGAAUUGCAUUUGUGACUGUAGAGCUAGAGUACGGCAGAGGGGGAUGGAAUUCCGCGUGUAGCAGUGAAAUGCGUAGAUAUGCGGAGGAACACCGAUGGCGAAGGCAAUCCCCUGGGCCUGUACUGACGCUCAUGCACGAAAGCGUGGGGAGCAAACAGG
rnacentral:rRNA from 1 species